rnacentral:lncRNA from 1 species
AAUUAUUAAUCUGUGACAACUUUAUUGCAGCCUUACACUUCAGGGAUUGUCCCUGGGGUGCAGGUGGGGGCUUCCUAAAAUUCGCCCCAUCUUUCAAUUUCGAUGAUUAACAUAAAUGAUAUUCCCAUCCACAAAUAAAAGAAUGAAUAAAAAGACAUAGAUCAAAGAACAUGAAACCAUGACUGGAAUACAAUAAUAACAGCUGGAAAUAUUUUAUGCAUGGCAGUGUUAACCCAAAUACCUUAACUAUGGAUAUACAUUGUAUCAGUGUUAAUUUUAUGGCAACAUAUGGAUGGGACUUUCAGUGGAAAUAUUGUCAAAUAGAUACAUUUACAGUGCAACAUCCUCAAUUGUGGACUUUACAGUGGAUGUAUUCUAAUGGCAAUAUAUGCAUAAAAGUACAAUUAAUUGUGAACUUAUCAGUGAGAUAUUGUAAUGGCAAUGUAUGUUAAAUUACAAUGCAUUGGACUUCACCGUGGACUUGCUAGUAUUGAAAAUGUUCUAAUGGCAAUAUGUGGAUAAAAGUACAAUUGUGGACGAAUAAGUGAAAGUGUUCUAAUGGCAAUGUAUGCAUAAAAUUACAAUGUGUUCAACUUAACUGUGGUUCCUACAUGUUAAUCAGUGGAAAUAUUCUAGUGGCAGCUGGAUACAAUUUACGGUGCAACAGCCUCAAUUGCAGACAUUUCAGCAGUGAUAUUCUAAUGGCAAUGUAUGGAUAAAAAUUACAAUGUAUGGAUGAAGCUCCAUCACCGUCCUCAGCUAUGGACUCAGUGCAAAUGUAUUGAUUAUUAUAUGACAAACAAUGACUGAAACACAGUGCAAUAGACCAAACUGUGUAAAAUAUUUCAAAUGGCAAUUAUGCACUAUCAAAUCGCAACACAAUCACCUACUAUUAAUACUGGACCAAUUCAACCUUCAAUUAAUUAUUUUGCAAGGAUACAUGUACAUGGGUCUUAUAUCAAUAUUAACUUUUAACUAUCAAGAUCUUGUGCACAGUUAACAUUGUAUACAUGUAAUCAGAAACAUAUAUUAUGAUAUACAUUUUGUAAUAUAUAGUGAAAUAUGACAAGACUUCGAAGAAAACUACUUAAAAUAACAUUAAAUGAUUUUUAAUUUUUGUUUCAUGAGUGUAGUAAGAUUAUAUUUCAAUAUUUCAAUUUUCUUGAAAAUCAUGUUAUUCAAUCUUCCAUUNUUUUAUGAUUUAACUUACAGUAAUGAACUGCACAUUAACAAAAUCUCCUAAUAAAAGACUUCUGUAUGUGAAUAGUUAUAUGACAAUGUUUAUAAUCUCCGAGUUAUGUUGCCAUUGGCAGCUUGUUCUAAAAGGCGUCACAUGCUCUUUAAUUGAGCUUCCAAUUAGCAAACCUUACGAGUUGAGCUGUCUUGUGGAUUGUUGAUCUUUCCAAAAGCCGUAACUUCAAUUUCAACUUAUAAUUUCAUCGUAUACCUUGCCUUGUAUGUCACUGAGGACCGCUUUACCCGUUGCUUCCUGUUAAAUACACGACAGCGACUUAGAUUUGAGACCUAAUGAGNGGGACAGUCUCACUGAAAACUAGUAUUCCUCAAGUCGAAUCGGUAAGAGAGUAGUUUUUAAGGGAUUUCCAUAUAUAUAUAUUUUUAGUCCAUUAUGGAUUCACUUUCAAAUGAUUUUAUUUUGAUGAUAAUUUAUGUUUUAUAUCUGUGGAAUACCACAUGUGACACGCACGGUCAUUUAUGAGUAUUUAAGGUUAUUUUUUUCAGUACUUCAGCGUUUUCUCAUAUUNGAAGGGAUAUUUAAGUAGAUCCGGAAGCUAUUUGUCGCCGUUUGUGGUGUUAGACUAUAAUCACUUGUAAUUUGAAUCCUUCGGAGCAGGUGUUUAGUCGAUUGAGUCGUAAUUUCUUGAAGGGGAUGCCGAUGACUUGCCGAAAUAAUCCGAAGACAUGUUGAAAAUAUCGAUAAGCAUUCGUAGAAACCGAAUAUUUGCCGAAAUUAGCCGAAAACGUUUUGGAAAUAUCGAUAAACAAUAGUAGUUUCAGUCAACACUUAUGUUCCUUUCAGGGAUUCAUUACCCGAAGAUUUGCCGAAAUUAUCCGAAAACUAGUUAAAAAGUAUAUCGAUAAUCUCUCGUGGAUUUAGUCAGACAAACGGGUUCGUUGACCGAAGAUUUGCUGAAAUAUUCCGAGGACUUGUCGAAAAUGAUAAAAGACAAUCAAGUCUGUCGAGCAGGUGCACGUGGAGACAAUUGAAUGCUCUUAUGUUAAGGAUUAGAUUGACGAAGAUUUGCAAAGAUAAUCAACCGUGUGCAGACAAUUACCCUGUUUCAUUAUGACGUCACAGUAUGUUUACGUCAGAAAACGAUGCUCAAAAACAGUAGAAAUUUGGAUCAUUUAUAUUGUUAACUAAAGUAGACUUUCAAUGAAUCGUGUUUUGAUAUGUGUCAUAUAUCAAAGAUUGCUCAUGUAUAUUUUAUUUGAUAUGUAGUCAAUCUGAUCACCUUUGGGGACCAUAAUCCUUAGCGUUUAAACGACAUGUUUUGAUGUAACGAACUAGAUUUUACUUUCGAGGAUUCGCUUCCUGAAGCGGACUUUCCCGAAGUUGACCGGCGAAUUGUCAAAACUUAACCGACAUACAAUCGUAGUUUCAGUACAACCAACAAGUGAUCAGUCACGUUGUUUCACCGAAGAUGAAUCUGACCGAAUGUGAAUCGAGUGUAGAUCGAAUGUGAACCGAGUGUGAACCGAAUGUGAAUCGAGUGUGAACCGAAUGUGAAGCCGAUGAUCAAUUGUCGUUUUCGUCUUAAGAAUAGUUCUAAUAAAUGACUGACGAAAUGCUGUAUGUUGAAAUCGUGUAAAGGAAGAAAUGAAGGAAAAGUAAAAAAAAGAAAAAAGGGAAGAAAACACACAAGAAGGAAAG